rnacentral:rRNA from 1 species
UACGUAGGGGGCUAGCGUUGUCCGGAAUCAUUGGGCGUAGAGAGCGUGUAGGCGGCUCGAUAAGUCCGCUGUGAAAGUCCAGGGCUCAACCCUGGGAUGCCGGUGGAUACUGUCGGGCUCGAGUCCGGAAGAGGCGAGUGGAAUUCCUGGUGUAGCGGUGAAAUGCGCAGAUAUCAGGAGGAACACCAAUGGCGAAGGCAGCUCGCUGGGACGUGACUGACGCUGAGACGCGAAAGCGUGGGGAGCAAACAGG